rnacentral:rRNA from 1 species
GACGAACGCUGGCGGCGUGCUUAACACAUGCAAGUCGAACGGAAGGGCCCUGCUUUUGUGGGGUGCUCGAGUGGCGAACGGGUGAGUAACACGUGAGUAACCUGCCCUUGACUUUGGGAUAACUUUAGGAAACUGGGGCUAAUACCGGAUAGGAGCUCCUGCUGCAUGGUGGGGGUUGGAAAGUUUCGGCGGUUGGGGAUGGACUCGCGGCUUAUCAGCUUGUUGGUGGGGUAGUGGCUUACCAAGGCUUUGACGGGUAGCCGGCCUGAGAGGGUGACCGGCCACAUUGGGACUGAGAUACGGCCCAGACUCCUACGGGAGGCAGCAGUGGAGAAUAUUGCACAAUGGGCGGAAGCCUGAUGCAGCGACGCCGCGUGCGGGAUGACGGCCUUCGGGUUGUAAACCGCUUUCGCCUGUGACGAAGCGUGAGUGACGGUAAUGGGUAAAGAAGCACCGGCUAACUACGUG